rnacentral:lncRNA from 1 species
GGAGCUCCAUGUCUGCCGUCUUGCCGUCAACUCCUUAACCUGAAAAGAAUCAUAAAUAAUAGGGUAUGAGUGUGCAAGCACACUCAGUGGGGUAAACACUGCAAGCAGUUAUAACCAAUUGUGUAAUGAAUCAUAACAUGUUGAACUCUUAUAAUUUUUCACUUAGCUGACAUCUUGUGAGACUAGUCUCGGUCCCUUGUGGACCUAACCCCUUGUGGGCCGUUCAGCUCUUUGAUCCCUUGUGGAUCCGACCCCUUGUGGGUCCCAUUAGUUCAUAUGAAUGACGCACAACACAACAAUGAUUAUAACCAUGUAACAACUACGCUUACAGAUAAAAGUAAACCCCACCUUAAGUGAUUGAAUUCAAACCUCUUCAAGCUUGCUUCGGUUGUCCUCCUCGAGCCUUGGAUGCGCCGCUCCUAGCACUUGAAACACUUUAAACUUAGUUUCAUUACAAGCACUUAUUCUUGAAUAAGCUCUCAUUUCUUUAAACAAUAUUUUUAAUCUCUCUUGAAUAUAUUCUUGAUAAUUCUACAAUACACUUGAAGCCGAAGACCAUAUUUGAACAUUUUAUGAAUCUACAAAUUAUAAAUUCAUAGUUUCAAUUACUAGUAUAAAUUAUACUAAUCUAACUUCAUUAUAAUCAUAUAAUUUAAUUAUAUAAUAUACUAAGUUUAGAUCACCAUAAUCCUUAUAAUUUAUUUCAAUUCUUGGCUAAUAAUAUUAAAAGCAAAUGUCUUGAUUAUCUAUUUAUGUGUUCAAGGUGAAACAAUCAUCAAAAAUCUAAUUCAAAUUCCCAAAUAAAAAUUAAAAUAAGCAUAACAUAUUAAAACUCAUAUUCGACACAUAUGGAGCUACAUCUCGACGUCUAUUCCGGCCAAUUCGACCUUAGAUUUCAAGAAGAAAACCUAUGAUUAGAACGUCUACGACAUGAGCUACAAAACCCCUAAACUUAUUCUCCCUCACGGCAUCGAUUUGACGCCGGAAGGUCGACUCAAACUCGCGCGGAAACCUUCGCGCACAGACCCGACACCCUGACUUGAUUGGCUCAUAACUCCCUCGUCCGGUGUCGGAUUGACGAUCCGAAGGUACCGUUGGAAAGCCAACGACGAUAGCUUUCCAAUGGUACCUAUAUUGAUGGGGUUUGAUGACAGAAAACAGAUGAAAAACGGAUCGCAAGAUACGACCCUGCUGCUGUCAAAAACAGGGGAAAUAAAAACACAGCAAAAGUCAUGCCGGCAGCCACCACGCCGCCGGAACUACUGUUCCGGUAAUCCCUCCUCCUCACUCACACAACAGACUCCAUCCCACCAAUAUCUACUCAAGACCUUUAGCCAUCGAUUAAGAAGAACAAGAAUGGAAGAGAAGUGCAAAACCCUUUCAAAUUCAACAAGCAAAAUCGAAGAAACAAGAAUUAGGAGAAAUUACCUUGAUGGCUGCAGUAAAUCGAUGAGUGGUGAAGAUGGAGAGAAGAGAAAAGACGCAGGGGAGAGAAGAUAGGGAAAUUUCCAAAUCAUAAGCAUAUCCUUAUAUAUAUACAUGAAUUAUCUAUUAAAAAAUCUAACUUAUACAAUAAAAAUCUAACACUUUAUAAAUAUUUUAAUGCUAUUUGCUAAUAAAAUCUUAGAUAUUUUUAUCAAUAGCAAUUCUAGAAUAUUCAAGUUUAUUCAUUAAUAUUAUAUGACUUAUUACAAAACUCCUUAAUAUUUUAAUAUUAAAUCAAUUCUAGAAUAUUCCAUUUACUUAUACUUUUUUUUAUAAACAAUUUACAUAUUAAUAUCUAACAUAUUCUAGAGUUUUCAUGUAUUUUAUUUUACUAAUCUUACUCUUUAAGAUUUAUUUAUAAGUAAAUUUAAAUUUUGCUAGGGCGGAUCCUCGCUCUAAGUCGGACAACCUGUAAAACAUUUAAAAAUCAAAUCCGUUAGUUUUAAUAACGUCAUAAAAUAUUUAACUUAAACAUAAACAUCUCUAAUAUAUUGUAAUUAAAUUAUAAAUAAAUUAAAAAGGUUCGGGGUAUUACACCCUACCACCCUUAAAAAUAAUUUCGUCCUCGAAAUUAACCUUGCAAGUCUUUAAAGUGAGGAUAUCGCGCUAAAAGGUCGUCUUCUUUCUCCCACGUUGCUUCUUCUGGUCCGUGCCUACUCCAUUGGACUUUUACUAAUGGUACUAAUCUAUUUCUUAAGGUAUGAACCUUUCGAUCUAAGAUGGCAACAGGCGUUUCUUCAUAGGUUAAGUCAGGAGAAAUUUGGAGACUCCCACGAGAAAUGAUGUGGCUUGGGUCAGAAACGUAUUUCCUAAGCAUCGACACGUGGAAUACGUUAUGUACGCCUGCUAGGUCUGGGGGUAAAGCUAAGCGAUAAGCUACGCCUCCUAUCUUUUCAAGUAUUUCAAAUGGUCCUACGUAUCGAGGUUGUAACUUUCCCUUUUUGCCGAAUCUAAUGACUCCUUUCAUCGGUGCUAUCUUCAAGAAUACUUUGUCUCCAACCUCGAAAUGCACGUCUUUUCGUUUUGGAUCGGCGUAAGACUUUUGACGAUCUUGGGCUAUCUUGAUUCUUUCUCUAAUUUUUGCAAUUACUCCAACUGUUCUUUCAAUGAUCUCGGGUCCCAAAAUUCGUCUUUCUCCGACUUCAUCCCAGUGAAUCGGUGAUCGACAUCUUCUUCCAUAAAGAGCUUCAAAUGGCGGCAUCCCGAUUGUAGCUUGGUGGCUAUUAUUGUACGCGAACUCGACCAAUGGUAAGUGUUUCUCCCAACUUCCUCCCAAGUCAAGCGCACAAGCACGAAGCAUAUCUUCUAAGAUUUGGAUAGUUCGUUCCGAUUGUCCGUCCGACUGAGGAUGAUAGGCCGUGCUGAAAUUUAACUUGGUGCCUAAGGCUGAUUGAAGGCUCCUCCAAAACUUAGAAGUGAAUCUCGUAUCUCGAUCUGACACUAUUGACACUGGUACUCCAUGUAGCCUUACUAUCUCAUCAAUGUAGAGUUGCGCCAAUUGAUCCAUGCUAUAGGUCAUCUUUACAGGAAGAAAGUGGGCUGAUUUCGUCAACGUAUCAAUAAUAACCCAAAUUGCAUGAUGGCCUUUCACUGUGCGAGGUAAUCCAACCACAAAGUCCAUAGCAAUUUUCUCCCAUUUCCACUCGGGAAUCUCGAGCGGGUUUAGUAAUCCAGAAGGGCGUUGGUGUUCAGCUUUUACCUGUUGGCAAGUGAUACAUCUUUCUACAAAGCUCCCAAUGGAUCUCUUCAUGUUUCGCCACCAAAAGAUCGUUUUCAAAUCCUUGUACAUCUUGGUUCCACCUGGAUGCACGGAGUAUGGAGUAUUGUGUGCUUCCUCAAGUAUCUCCCGUCUGAGCUCUUCAUUAUUUGGCACGCACAAUCUCCUUCGUAAACGAGUGUUCCGUCCUCUGUGACUGCGAAUCCUUGGAUGGUACCUUCGAGUGCUCUCGUCUUUAUUUUGCACAAAAAUUGAUCAUCUUUUUGCGCCUCUCGAAUUCGAUCUCUUAGCAUUGGACGGACGACAAGUGCAGCUAUAACUCCUGAUGUGGUGUUCGGCGGUUGCACCACUUCCAAAUUAAGCAUCUCGAAUUCUCUAAUAAGCUUCUUCUCGCUAGUAGGUAAUGUGGCAAGAUAACUUUUUCGACUUAACGCAUCAGCAACCACGUUCGCCUUUCCAGGGUGAUAGUGGAUUGUGCAGUCGUAAUCUUUAACUAACUCUAACCACCUUCUUUGGCGGAGGUUUAACUCCUUUUGAGUGAAGAAAUAUUUGAGGCUCUUGUGGUCGGUGUAAAUUUCGCACUUGCUGCCAUAGAGAUAAUGACGCCAUAUUUUCAAUGCGUGCACAACUGCUGCGAGCUCGAGGUCGUGAGUCGGGUACUUCUCUUCGUGAGGCUUCAACUGCCUUGAUGCGUAUGCCACGACCUUACCAUGUUGCAUCAAUACACAUCCGAGCCCUUGCUUUGAAGCAUCCGUAUAGAUAACAAAGCCUUCAGCACCAUCGGGUACUGUCAAAACUGGGGCUGAUAUUAGGCGUUGUUUAAGCUCUUGGAAACUCUUCUCGCAUUGGUCACUCCAUUGGAACUUUUCAUUCUUCCGCGUUAGCUUUGUUAACGGACCGGCAAUUCUCGAAAAUCCCUCUAUGAAUCGCCGAUAGUACCCAGCCAUUCCAAGGAAGCUCCUGAUCUCUUUCACGUUGGUUGGCGUCUUCCAAUUACUUACUGCUUCAACUUUGGACGGAUCUACUUCUAUCCCUUUCGGUGUAAUCACGUGUCCGAGAAAAGCUACUCGUUCCAACCAAAAUUCACAUUUUUGAAAUUUCGCAUACAACUUUUCUUUCCUCAAAGUCUCCAAGACGAUCUUCAGAUGCUCCGCGUGUUGCUCCUUGUCUCUCGAGUAUACAAGGAUGUCGUCAAUAAAAAUGAUCACAAAUUGAUCAAGGUAGGAAUGGAAGACGCGGUUCAUUAAAUCCAUGAAGACGCCAGGUGCAUUGGAGAGUCCGAAAGGCACGACUGUAAACUCAAAGUGGCCGUAUCUCGUCCUAAACGCGGUCUUGGAAACGUCGCUCUCUUUGAUUUUGAGUUGGUGAUAUCCCGAUCUCAAGUCGAUCUUCGAGAACACGCCCGCUCCUUUCAAUUGGUCGAAUAAAUCUUCGAUUCGGGGCAACGGAUAUUUAUUCUUAAUCGUUAGCCUAUUGAGUUCGCGAUAAUCUACGCACAUUCUUAAAGUCCCGUCCUUCUUCUUCACGAAUAAUACUGGAGCACCCCAAGGAGAUACACUCGGUCGAAUGAAUCCCUUGUCAAGCAAUUCUUGUAGCUGAACUUUAAGUUCUUGUAAUUCUUUAGGUGCCAUCCUAUAGGGUGCCUUCGAGAUUGGAGUUGCUCCUGGUACUAAGUCGAUGGUGAACUCGAUUUGUCGGUCUGGAGGAAUCCCUGGUAACUCAUCAGGAAAUACAUCGGCAUACUCUCUUACUAUAGGCACUUCAGAAACCUUACUUUCGUUGGGUAGUGUUGUGGUCAUACUAACUAGGUACCCUUGACAAUCUUUCUUUCUUAGCAUCUUGAUUGCCUUCAUCGCGGUUAUAAUCCUUGGAUGAGCUUUUGUUCGAGCACCAUAAAAGAUGAGCUUCGGUUCUCUAGGGCGUUGAAUCUCCACCUUUCGCUCACGACAUCUAAUUGUUGCAUUAUUCUUGCCCAUCCAAUCCAUGCCUAAGAUUAUAUCGAAAUCUCGCAUUUCUAGGACGUGAAGAUCGGCCUCAAGCUCUUUCCCGUUUAUGUCUAUCUUUAUACCCUUCGCUAUCUUAUCGCUCCUAAUAAUUUUUCCCGAAGGAAUGCUAACCUCUAGUGCGUCGCUAUUAUCGUAGGAGACUAUACUAAUCUUCGAACAAAAUUUCGUAGAUAUGAAGGAAUGGGUAGCUCCCGAAUCAAAUAGCACCAAAGCAGGAAUAUUUGAGACUUGAAGUAUACCUGACAUGGUGUCUGCACCGUCCUCGGGAUCGGGGUCUCCUUCUG